rnacentral:rRNA from 1 species
UACGUAGGGUGCGAGCGUUAAUCGGAAUUACUGGGCGUAAAGCGUGCGUAGGCGGUUCGUUAAGUUCGUCGUGAAAGCCCCGGGCUCAACCUGGGAAUGGCGAUGGAGACUGGCGGGCUUGAGUAUGGCAGAGGGGGGUGGAAUUCCGCGUGUAGCAGUGAAAUGCGUAGAGAUGCGGAGGAACACCGAUGGCGAAGGCAGCCCCCUGGGCCAAUACUGACGCUCAGGCACGAAAGCGUGGGGAGCAAACAGG